UUGGGGAAGAGGUGUGUGGAUAUACCUCUCUUGGAGUGGCCAAAAACUGUGAAGAUAUUUGUAUCCAAAGUGAGUGCUCACCAACGUGUGAUCUCAGCAGAAGAGAAUUUUAAUAAUCAAUUGGAUAGGGUGACCUUUUCUGUGAACACUACUCAGUCUCUUUCCACAGCCACAGCUGUCAUUGCCCCAUGGGCCCAUGAAAAAGGGGCCAUGGUGGCAGGGAAGGAGGUUAUGCAUGAGCUCAGCAACACGGACUUCCACUGCCCCAAGCUGACCUGGCUAUGGCCACUGCUGAGUGCCCAGUUUACCAGCAGCAGAGAUCAACACUGAGCCCUCAAUAUGGCAACAUUUCUCGGGGUGAUCAACAAGCUACCUGGUGGCAGGUUGAUUAUAUUGGAUCUCUUCCCUGAAGGUCUCUGAAUUUUAGUCAGAUUUAUUUCCCAUCGUCUGGCAUGCAAAUGUCUUACCAAUAAGUCCAGUAUGUUCGCUACUUCUUGCUCACUGGGUCCAAUCAGCAUAAUGUCAUUAAUGUAACAAACCAGUGUGAUAUGUUUGUGGAAGUGAAAAGUGAUCAAGGUCUCUUUGAAUAAGAUUAUGAUCCAAAGGCAGAGAGUUCAUAUACCCCUGAGGUAGAACAGUAAAGGUAUAUUUACUGUAAAGGUAUAUUUACAUUGCCAGCUGAAGGCAAAUUGCUUCCAAUGGACAAGAAUGGAGAAAAAGGCAUUUGCCAAGUUAAUGGCUGCAUGCAAGGUACCAGCAGACGUGUUAAUUUGCUCAAGUAAUGAAACCACAACUGGUAGAGCUGCUGCAAUUGGAGUCACCAUUUGGUUAAGCUUACAAUAAUCCACUGUCAUUCUCCUAGAUCCAUCUGUCUUCCCCACAGGCCAAACAGGAGAGUUGAACAGGGAUGUAGUGGGAAUCACCACCCCUGCGUCUUUCAAGUCCUUAAGGGUGUCACUAAUCUCCAUAAUCUUUCCACGGAUGCAAUAUUAUUUUUGAUUUAUGAUUUUUCUAGAUAGAGGCAGCUCUAAUGGCUUCCAUUUGGCCCUUCUUACCAUAAUAUCCCUCACCCUGCCAGUCAGGAAGCCAGUGUGGGGGUUCUGCCAGCUGCUAUGUAUGUCUAUGCCAAUUAUGCAUUCUGGCACUGAAGAAAUGACCACAGGAUGAGUCUGGGAACCCCCUGGAGUUGUGUAAGUAGGGCCUGAGCUAAAACUCUAUCAAUUACUACCCCCAUAAGUCCCUACUUUAACUGGAGGACCACAGUGACAUUUUGGGUCUCCUGGAAUCAACGUCAGCUUAGACCCAGUGUCUAAUAGUCCCUGAAACGUCUAAUCAUUUCCCUUUCAUCAAUGCACAGUUACCCUGGUAACAGGUCAGAAGCCUCCUUGGGGAAGAAUGGGAGAAAGAAUAACAGCAUAAAUUGUCAGUAGUAUAGUGGGGUUCUUGAUCAAAGGGACCUGGCCUCCCCUUUAUUCAAGGGGUUCUGGUUCUGGCUCCAAUCUGGAAAUUAAUUGAGGGGCCAUGGUUCUCUGUUUUUAUCAUUCANNNNNNNNNNACCCAAAUGAGGAAUGUGUUGCCUCCAAAAUCCAAACAGGCACAAAACCACUAAGCAUUGUGCCUUUUUGUUGCUUGUAGAAAGGGCCAAGUGUGGCAACUUAUCCUUUACCAUAGAAGGAAUGUCUCAACAUGUCCAACACCACUAGACCACUAGACCCCUGGAAAUUUUACUGAGGUAGAAGGUCUCUGAAUUUUAGUCAGAUUUAUUUCCCAUCGUCUGGCAUGCAAAUGUCUUACCAAUAAGUCCAGUAUGUUCGCUACUUCUUGCUCACUGGGUCCAAUCAGCAUAAUGUCAUUAAUGUAACAAACCAGUGUGAUAUGUUUGUGGAAGUGAAAAGUGAUCAAGGUCUCUUUGAAUAAGAUUAUGAUCCAAAGGCAGAGAGUUCAUAUACCCCUGAGGUAGAACAGUAAAGGUAUAUUUACUGUAAAGGUAUAUUUACAUUGCCAGCUGAAGGCAAAUUGCUUCCAAUGGACAAGAAUGGAGAAAAAGGCAUUUGCCAAGUUAAUGGCUGCAUGCAAGGUACCAGCAGACGUGUUAAUUUGCUCAAGUAAUGAAACCACAUCUGGUAGAGCUGCUGCAAUUGGAGUCACCAUUUGGUUAAGCUUACAAUAAUCCACUGUCAUUCUCCUAGAUCCAUCUAUCUUCCCCACAGGCCAAAUAGGACAGUUGAACAGGGAUGUAGUGGGAAUCACCACCCCUGCGUCUUUCAAGUCCUUAAGGGUGUCACUAAUCUCCAUAAUCUUUCCACGGAUGCAAUAUUAUUUUUGAUUUAUGAUUUUUCUAGAUAGAGGCAGCUCUAAUGGCUUCCAUUUGGCCCUUCUCACCAUAAUAGCCCUCACCCUGCCAGUCAGAAAGCCAAUGCGGGGGUUCUGCCAGCUGCGAAGUAUGUCUAUGCCAAUUAUGCAUUCUGGCACUGAAGAAAUGACCACAGGAUGACUCUGGGAACCUCCUGGAGUUGUGUAGGUAGGGCCUGAACUAAAACUGUAUCAAUUACUGCCUCCAUAAGUCCCUACUUUAACUGGAGGACCACAGUGACAUUUUGGGCCCCCUGGAAUCAACGUCAGCUUAGAGUCAGUGUCUAGUAGUCCCUGAAACGUCUAAUCAUUUCCCUUUCAUCAAUGCACAGUUACCCUGGUAACAGGUCAGAAGUCUCCUUGGGGAAGAAUGGGAGAAAGAAUAACAGCAUAAAUUGUCAGUAGUAUAGUGGGGUUCUUGAUCAAAGGGACCUGGCCUCCCCUUUAUUCAAGGGGUUCUGGUUCUGGCUUCAAUCUGGAAAUUAAUUGAGGGGCCAUGGUUCUCUGUUUUUAUCAUUCAAAUUAGUCUUUUGUCCGUUUGACCUGGACGUUUUCAGCCUAUAUAAAUUAAGCAGGAAUUCAGUAGGCUUCCUAUCAAUUUCAUUUCUAGGAACAUCAUUAUUAGCCAAUACCAGAGCUCUACACGAGUUUGCACUAUUUAAUUGCUGCUUUGCCUCUGCUGUCCAUUAUAAUAGCUAUGCCCACCUUGCCUGUGAUGGUUUAGUGCUGCCACUUGGCCCCUGCCACCUCAGGAUCCAAUUAUUCCCAUUGUAUUUCAAUUUUGUAGUUGAGUGGCUGCAGUUCCCACUGCUAGAUCUGAUAUCAGAGAAGAGCAAUUACAGCGCUCUUCAAAGAUGCAGGUGCUGCCUCACAAGUCUAUUUCACAAAACAUUGGUCAAGCGUAUAUCUUCUGGACCCACCCAGCUCGGAUAAGUAGGUGUAAAGUGACUAAUCUCCUCCAUCAUCCCAAUCUUUCUAAGCCUUUUGAUUCUUUCCUCUACAUUAACCCAAGGGAGGAAAUUAGGCACUUCCAGCUCGCUCACAGUAGGCUAUUUUUUAAUCCAUAUUUCAGCCAACCAAGCAAAUAAACUAUCAGAACCUUUUUUUAACUCCCCAAGCUGUAACAUUAAAUGCAGAGUCCCUACCUAGUAGGCUUAAAUCAAUACAUUCAGCCUGAUCCAACUGUAUGUUCCUUCCACUAUUAUCCCAUACCCUUAAUAUCCAUUCCCAUUCCUGUUCUCCAUAUUUUUGCUUAUAUAAAUAGAAAGCUCAAGCAGUUCUUUUGAGUGUAGUGCACCUCCUCAUAGGUCACACUCUCNNNNNNNNNNCUGGCUCCAAUCUGGAAAUUAAUUGAGGGGCCAUGGUUCUCUGUUUUUAUCAUUCAGAUUAGUCUUUUGUCCAUUUGACCUGGAUGUUUUCUGCCUAU
rnacentral:lncRNA from 1 species